AUUGAACGCUGGCGGCAUGCCUUACACAUGCAAGUCGAACGGCAGCACGGGGGCAACCCUGGUGGCGAGUGGCGAACGGGUGAGUAAUAUAUCGGAACGUGCCAUAGAGUGGGGGAUAACUAGUCGAAAGAUUAGCUAAUACCGCAUACGAUCUACGGAUGAAAGUGGGGGAUCGCAAGACCUCAUGCUCUGUGAGCGGCCGAUAUCUGAUUAGCUAGUUGGUGGGGGAAAGGCCCACCAAGGCGACGAUCAGUAGCUGGUCUGAGAGGACGCCCAGCCACACGGGGAGUGAGGCACGGCCCAGACUCCUACGGGAGGCAGCAGUGGGGAAUUUUGGACAAGGGGGGCAACCCUGAUCCAGCAAUGCCGCGUGUGUGAAGAAGGCCUGCGGGUUGUAAAGCACUUUUGGCGGGAACGAAACGGUUGGGGCUAAUAUCCCUUGCUAAUGACGGUACCCGCAGAAUAAGCACCGGCUAACUACGUGCCAGCCGCCGCCGUAACAC
rnacentral:rRNA from 1 species